rnacentral:rRNA from 1 species
GGCUAUUAGAUGAGCCUACGUUAGAUUAGCUAGUUGGUAAGGUAAUGGCUUACCAAGGCUAUGAUCUAUAGCUGGUCUGAGAGGACGAUCAGCCACACUGGAACUGAGAUACGGUCCAGACUCCUACGGGAGGCAGCAGUGGGGAAUAUUGGACAAUGGGCGAAAGCCUGAUCCAGCUAUGCCGCGUGAGUGAAGAAGGCCUUCGGGUUGUAAAACUCUUUCAAUAGGGAAGAUAAUGACGGUACA